CUGGGAAAUGAGGCGUGGAGCAAGGGGUGAGGUGGUUUUGGGGGGGGAUUUGGGAGUGGUCGGAGCUCCUGGGGGGGCUCCAGGCUGGAAAUUUCCAUGGAAAACUCAAGGAUGAGGUGGUUUUGGGGGAUUUGGGAGCAUCCCGAGCUCCUGGGGGGCUCCAGCAUUGGAAUUUCCAUGGAAAACUCAAGGAUGAGGUGGUUUUGGGGGAUUUGGGAGCAUCCCGAGCUCCUGGGGGGCUCCAGCAUCGGAAUUUCCAUGGAAAAGUCAAGGAUGAGGUGGUUUUGGGGGAUUUGGGAGCAUCCCGAGCUCCUGGGGGGCUCCAGCAUUGGAAUUUCCAUGGAAAACUCAAGGAUGAGGUGGUUUUGGGGGAUUUGGGAGCGUCCCGAGCUUCGGGGGGGCUCCAGGCUGGAAAUUUCCAUGGAAAGCUCAAGGAUGAGGUGGUUUUGGGGGAUUUGGGAGCAUCCCGAGCUCCUGGGGGGGCUCCGGGCUGGAAAUUUCCAUGGAAAACUCAAGGAUGAGGUGGUUUUGGGGGAUUUGGGAGCGUCCUGGACUCCUGGGGGGGCUCCAGCAUCGGAAUUUCCAUGGAAAAGUCAAGGAUGAGGUGGUUUUGGGGGAUUUGGGAGCAUCCCGAGCUCCUGGGGGGCUCCAGCAUUGGAAUUUCCAUGGAAAAGUCAAGGAUGAGGUGGUUUUGGGGGAUUUGGGAGCGUCCCGAGCUUCGGGGGGGCUCCAGGCUGGAAAUUUCCAUGGAAAGCUCAAGGAUGAGGUGGUUUUGAGGGAUUUGGGAGCGUCCUGGACUCCUGGAGGGGCUCAAGAAUCCAAAUUUCCCUGGAAAACUCCUGGUGGAUCAAGGACAAAGGAAUUUUGUGGAAUUUGGGAGCAUCCCGAGCUCCUGGGGGGCUCCAGGCUGGAAAUUUCCAUGGAAAACUCAAGGACGAGGUGAUUUUGUGGGAUUUGGGAGCGUCCCGAGCUCCUGGGGGGCUCCAGCAUCGGAAUUUCCCUGGAAAACUCCUGGUGGAUCAAGAACGAGGUGGUUUUGAGGGAUUUGGGAGCGUCCUGGACUCCCAGGGGGCUCCAGCAUCAGAAUUUCCCUGGAAAACCCAAGGUCCGGGGUUUCUGUGGGAUACACUCGGAGCAGAAUUCCAAUUAAAGACUGGUUUGAACCCGGA